rnacentral:rRNA from 1 species
AGGGUAAACGCUGGCGGCGUGCCUAAAACAUGCAAGUCGCACGGCAUCUUCGGAUGCAGUGGCAGACGGCUGAGUAACGCGUGGGUGACAUACCCAUUGGUGGGGAAUAACUGCCCGAAAGGGUGGCUAAUACCGCAUGUGGUGGUGUGUUCAUUCACACCAGUAAAGCCGCAAGGCGCUUCGGGAGGGGCCUGCGUCCGAUUAGCUCGUUGGUGGGGUAACGGCUCACCAAGGCGACGAUCGGUAGGUGGUCUGAGAGGACGAUCACCCAGACUGGGACUGAGACACGGCCCAGACUCCUACGGGAGGCAGCAGUCGGGAAUUUUGCGCAAUGGACGAAAGUCUGACGCAGCAACGCCGCGUGAGGGAUGAAGGCCUUCGGGUUGUAAACCUUCUUUAUCAGGGAAGAUAAUGACGGUACCUGAUGAAUAAGUCACGGCUAACUACGCGCCAGCGAGCCGC